GUGCUUGCUUUGGUAGCACAUAAAAUUGGAAUGAUACUGAGAAGAUAAGCAUGUCCCAUGCUCAAGUAUGACACAAAAAUUCAUGAAGCAUUCCAUAUUUUU